CCUGAUAAACCACCACAAAUUUUAUCCGCCCGGGUACUACAAGCAUUAGCUUAAAACCCAAAGGACUUGGCGGUGCUUUAGACCCACCUAGAGGAGCCUGUCCUAGAACCGAUACCCCCCGUUCAACCUCACCACUUCUGGCUCGAUAUUCCGCCUGUAUACCUCCGUCGUCAGCUUACCCCGUGAGGGGAUCAUAGUAAGCUAAAUUGGCACACCCCCAAAACGUCAGGUCAAGGUGCAGCGCACGAAGUGUGGAAGAGAUGGGCUACAUUUUCUGACCCAGAAAAUUACGAAAGGGAAAAUGAAAAACCCCCUGAAGGAGGAUUUAGCAGUAAGCAAGGAACAGAGUGCCCU
rnacentral:rRNA from 1 species